rnacentral:rRNA from 1 species
GACGAACGCUGGCGGCGUGCUUAACACAUGCAAGUCGAACGGAAAGGCCCUGCUUGCAGGGUACUCGAGUGGCGAACGGGUGAGUAACACGUGGGUGAUCUGCCCUGCACUUCGGGAUAAGCCUGGGAAACUGGGUCUAAUACCGGAUAGGACCAUCGUUUAGUGUCGGUGGUGGAAAGAUUUUUCGGUGCAGGAUGAGCCCGCGGCCUAUCAGCUUGUUGGUGGGGUAAUGGCCUACCAAGGCGGCGACGGGUAGCCGGCCUGAGAGGGUGGACGGCCACAUUGGGACUGAGACACGGCCCAGACUCCUACGGGAGGCAGCAGUGGGGAAUAUUGCACAAUGGGCGCAAGCCUGAUGCAGCGAUGCCGCGUGGGGGAUGACGGCCUUCGGGUUGUAAACCGCUUUCAGCAGGGAUGAAACUGACAGUACCUGCAGAAGAAGCCCCGGCUAACUACGUGCCAGCCGCCGCAGUAA